UGAACAUUGUGCAAGUUAGUGCAAAAUGGUGACUCAAGGGGCCUACAAGCUCAUGAAGGGGUAAAAGGCAAAAGGACGGUGAAUAUUAAUUCAAUUCAUGGCCAUAUGAUUGAAAUCUGACAUGUGGGUGGGUCAAAUUUAUGGCUCUUUGCAGUGGUCCUCUAAUCAAAAUGUUCAUUGAAAGUUAGGAUUUGUUAUCAUGAUUAAAAUUAAGAGAAGAUGGCCAAAGAGGCCAUCCUUGUUUUUAAGGAUCUAACAAGGUAAUUUCUUAAUUAGUAUUCAAAUAGUCUAAAACUAUAACAAUAAUUAAAAUUUUA
rnacentral:misc_RNA from 1 species